rnacentral:rRNA from 1 species
CACGUAGGGGACGAGCGUUGUCCGGAUUCAUUGGGCGUAAAGCGCGCGUAGGCGGCUCGGAAAGUCGGUCGUGAAAUGCCGGGGCUCAACCCCGGGACUGCGUCCGAUACUUCCGGGCUGGAGGUAGGUAGGGGAGAUCGGAAUUCCUGGUGUAGCGGUGAAAUGCGCAGAUAUCAGUAGGAACACCGGUGGCGAAGGCGGAUCUCUGGGCCUUACCUGACGCUGAGGCGCGAAAGCUAGGGGAGCGAACAGG